UUAGCGGCGGACGGGUGAGUAACACGUGAGUAACCUGCCUUUUACACAGGGAUAGCCUCGGGAAACCGGGAUUAAAACCUGAUGAAACUAAUCAAAUCACAUGAUUAAGAAAGUUAAAAACUCCGGUGGUAAAAGAUGGACUCGCGUCCCAUUAGCUAGUUGGUGAAGGUAACGGCCCACCAAGGCAACGAUGGGUAGCCGGCCUGAGAGGGUGAACGGCCACAUUGGAACUGAGAAACGGUCCAAACUCCUACGGGAGGCAGCAGUU
rnacentral:rRNA from 1 species